CCUACGGGUGGCUGCAGUGGGGAAUAUUGGACAAUGGGCGAAAGCCUGAUCCAGCCAUGCCGCGUGUGUGAAGAAGGCCUUCGGGUUGUAAAGCACUUUCAGUGGGGAAGAAAGCCUUGGGGCUAAUACCCUCGAGGAAGGACAUCACCCACAGAAGAAGCACCGGCUAACUCCGUGCCAGCAGCCGCGGUAAUACGGAGGGUGCGAGCGUUAAUCGGAAUUACUGGGCGUAAAGCGCGCGUAGGCGGUCUGAUAAGCCGGUUGUGAAAGCCCCGGGCUCAACCUGGGAACGGCAUCCGGAACUGUCAGGCUAGAGUGCAGGAGAGGAAGGUAGAAUUCCCGGUGUAGCGGUGAAAUGCGUAGAGAUCGGGAGGAAUACCAGUGGCGAAGGCGGCCUUCUGGACUGACACUGACGCUGAGGUGCGAAAGCGUGGGUAGCAAACAGGAUUAGAUCCCCUGUAGUC
rnacentral:rRNA from 1 species